UACGUAGGGGGGCAAGCGUUGUCCGGAUUUAUUGGGCGUAAAGAGCUCGUAGGUGGUUCGGUAAGUCGGAUGUGAAAUCUCCAGGCUCAACCUGGAGGGGUCAUUCGAUACUGCCGUGACUAGAGGCAGGUAGGGGAGAACGGAAUUCCCGGUGUAGCGGUGAAAUGCGCAGAUAUCGGGAGGAACACCGGUGGCGAAGGCGGUUCUCUGGGCCUGUACUGACGCUGAGGAGCGAAAGCGUGGGGAGCGAACAGG
rnacentral:rRNA from 1 species